GCGAGCGCGGGCUUCGGCCUAUAAAAGGGCCGCCCGGACGCUCCCUCCCGAUCGUGCGGCUCGAGCCGCCGCACCCCCUCCCUUUGCGUUGUGCUGCAGUGUCUGCGCCUGGCCACCUAAAAGGGUUUGUUCACGCUCGGCUCUGCUCAGCUUUGCCAGGGGUUGGCAGAUCCCGUGCACAGGGGUUUCCCACCACUGUGUUCUUCUUCCGCCUCUGCCCUUCCGCCCUAAUAUAUCCUUCCUCGGUUUCUUCCUCGGCCCCGCAGGCUGCGUCCCGCGCGCGCGUUGUACAUGUACGGACUUGUCAGCACUGGGUGACCUCCCUUCCCUUCUCCCUCCCCCGGCGGAAUCCAGGAUUAAGAGCCUUUCAGAGAAAUAUUCGGCCAAAGAAAAAGGCCCGUGAAAGUCAUCGCGUUAGAUAUGGACACCCAGUGUUAUUCACUAACUGAUCAUGGGAGGUUUUAUCAUCCAAAGGCAUAAAAGCAAACGGGGGUGGGGUGGGGAAGGACUGUUAAACAAAACAACUUUAUCCAAAAAGAGGUUGGGAGAUGGGGUGCAGUUGUGAAAUCGAAAAAAAAAAAGGGUACUAACAGAAGGAGUUGGGUUGGCCAUUAUAUUGGAAUCGAUGGGUUUUUGUCUGACUUGGUCACUAAUACUGGGUGUGACCUUGGACAAAUAAUUUGGUUUCUUGGAACCUUAGUUUUCUCCUCCCUGGAACGAGAGUUUCACUUAAAUCCAGAACGGUUUAGGUGAACCUUAUCAAAACGGUUUAAGCAGGAGAGAGAAACCAUGGUUUCAAGUUCGAAGUAUGGCACUGAAUAAAGGACUUUUGACAGUCAUUUUCAGUCUACCCUAAUUAGAGAUCAUGCAUCCACUCUUAUGUAUUAUACUGGUGUAUUUUAAUGGUUAGUAGUUUGCCAUGUAUUUUAAGUGGUGUAAGAGAUCCUCGUUUGGAACCAUUGUGUCUCUUCAAAUGGGAAAUCAAAAGGCUCAAAGGGACAGAUCACUGGUAAGAAGCUGUCUAUAAAUUCCAUGACAUAAUGCUAGUAGGAAUUUAUACUCAAAGAGAUUUGAGACUGAUUAGGACAGUAAAUUAACCUGCAGUUUUCAACCUCGGAGCAUGAUUAUAAUAACAUAGGUAGCAAGAUUUCUAAUAUACAGGAAAUUACCUAAUAAUUUUAAGAGGCAAAUCUCUUAAAUUGGUUUAAGUUUUAGGAGGCUAUGGAAGUGAUUUAAAAAUAGCACUACCAUGCUAAAAUGCAUUUUCUGGUAAAAUAGAUACUCUUGUACAACCUGAAUGUCAGAGGCACCAUUCUUAGUAUUCUGGGCUCUUGAGUGUUCUUUAGAAUUUAAUAUUUUGGCCUUUACAAAGUCACAUUUUUAGGAUGAGGCCUGGAAAUCUGUAUUAGCAACCUCCUCACCCACCACUCAUGAUUCUAAAGUAAUAUAAAACUGAGAGUCCCUGUACUAUAUUUUAAUCCAAGUACAUCAUAACAUUUAAAUUAUACUAUUCCUAGCUAGAAAAAAGUAAAAGCAUAGAAUUCAUGGAUUAGCUAUUUCUAGAAAAGGGUUUAUUUCCCCCUACCUCUUGAAUCAACAUCAUUGACUUUAAGAAAAGAUAAUUGCAACCACAAUUCUAAUCCUUCUAAAGUGCCAAGGGAAGAAUGUUCACUUUGAAGAAAAACAUUUGUGGCAUGAAAUCAGGAUAUUUUGUCCAUUGCAUGUAACUGAGUUUAAGUUGAUGCUCAAAUUGAAAACUUGAAAAUACUUCCCUAAUUAAUCAUUAUCAAAUGUGUUUUAUAAAUACAGUCUCCUGACAUAAGAAAGAGUUCUGGAAUUUUGAGUUAGGAAAUGAAAAUUUUAAAUCAUUUACUAGCUAAAUGAGUUUGGAAAGAUCACUUUAUUUUUUGGAGUUUGUUUCCUCAUCUAUGAAAUGGAUAGUAAUUCCUGUUUUCUCAGGGAUGGUUUAGGUGCAAAUGAGAUAAUCUGUGAAAGUAUCAUUGUAAACUGUUGACAUCCAGAAGUUUAAUUCAUCUAAAAGGAGUAAAUAAAAUCAUAUGGCAUUGUCUUAUGUGCACAGAAUAAGGGAAAUGCCAAAACUGAACUCUCUCUAUUCUUAAAGUUAUUUUUGUUGUUGUUGUUAUUGUUGAGUGGCUUCUAUUUGCCAGGUGAUAUAUAAGAUAUAGUGAAAGACAAAACAGACAUGGCCCCUGCUCUUACAGAGUUUAUAGUCUAGCAUCAUAGAAAUGUAUUUUAGUGAUAUCAGUUGAUAUAUAUCUCUUUUAGUCCACUGAUGUAUACUCAUCAUGUCAUGCUUUUAGUAAAAGCCUGCCCAACCUUCUGUACCACAACUGUUCAACCUCUAUUAGUAUUUGCCUACUAGCAAUUUAGAGCAGAAGGCAAUGGAUGCUAUAAUCUUUCAGCAGGUAUUAUACAAUGGCUUACCCAGCACUCAUCCAGCCCCUGUCUAGCUUGUACAUUAGAAGCUAGCAAGUUAAAAACAACAGUUUCUAGACUCCCUUGAAUCUAGAGUGCCGCUUGUAGAUGAUGGUGUGCUGGUAAAUGUUUACUAACGGCUGGGGGAGGGAAAAAACUCUGAUUUGUUGCAUUGACCAGUUUUCAUGGUGUGAAUACUCCCAAACUACCAAAAUGACUUCAAUGAAUGUGGAGUUAGUUGGACAAGAUGCUAACAAUCACUAGCUGGCUUCAGCAUAUCAGUACAUGUGACCUAGUUUCCAGUAAUCAGAUGCACCCAUUCAAGACCUGUUUGUGAAGGUGAGCAAGUGCAUUCAGGGAUAUGGGAUUUUCUGGCAAAUGCCAUGGUGGAGAUGUCUGGUUCUUCUGGGUAGCUGAGGAAGGGCUCUCAUAUUUUUAGAGUCAUAGGUGCUGACUGGCGGUUGGUGUUUGGAUAGUUUUCCACUAGAAGAGCUUGGUGAGGUGGGAUGAGUGUUCUUCCUGGUUUGGUUUUUCCUGAAUGUUGUUUCUAGCUAGCUGUGUAUUAUCCAAGCCUGGUUCUCUGGUCCUCUCUGAGAUCUGUGAGCUAAGUACUAUCAUUUAAUCCCUUUCUGCUUAAACUAGCUCUGUCAUGGUCAGCUACAUAAUUUGCUGAGCCCAGAGCAAAAUGAAAAAUGUGGGGCCCCUUGCUCAAAAAGCAGGUAAAAAGUACCAUUGUAUGUACUGAAAUAUAAAGCUUUUUCUUUCUUCUGUCAUCUGUCUUUUGACUUGUAAUGACGUGUUUUAUUUGCUUUUUAAUGUCAUUCUAAGUAAAGGAAAAUUAGAAUUUUAAAUUAUUAGAAUGAAUUUUACCAUUCAUCUUUAUUUUGUGCAAUGCCAUUUAAAAUGCAAAUAUAAAAACCAAUUAACUCAUACACAAAAUCAUUAAAAGUACACAAUUCAUAUCCUAGUUUUACAUGUAUAUGCAUUUUGUGCUUAUCAGAAUGUGUAAAUGCUGCACAAAACCAACUCACCUGUUUUUGUUUCCCUUUUUGAUAUGCAUACAUCCUACCAAUCUGAAUAUGGGAGGACUGAAAGGAAAGGGAACCAUGGGUUGUUCUACCUCUCCCCUUCCUUCUCUGUCAUCAUUUUCAAUGUAAAUAGUAAUACAGGGAAGUAAUAUGCACUAGUAAGAAAGGAUAUGACAGGAUUCUUUUGUCACGUGUAUUUUUUAGGAUGCCAUUGCCUUCUUUUUGCAUCUGAAGCAAGUUCUGGUUCAAAUGGAAAGUGUAGCCUCUUGGAAGAGUCCACUAAAUCAGCCAUAGAUGUAAUAUGCUUGCCUUGUAAUCACUUUGUGACUCUCUGAGUUCCUACACCUCAUUAGGUCCAUCAGAAUCCUGUGUUUAUGAGACACCAUGAAGACUAUAUGCAAACAGGGUGGCAAGGAAGGAAACAGGCAUACAUUGCCUCACUUCCUCUGCUCCUCUGCUUGCGUGUGUGAUCCAUUGUACCACUGGACUUCAUUUAUAAAAUAGAUGUUCAAACAUAAUAUGAAGAUCUUCAAAAUGGUGACCGCAGAGCACUAAACCAAGCACUGUGCCCUGUAGGACUGCACAGUUUACAUGCUCAUGAAGUGGACCCUGAGCUCAGUGUUUCUCAAGGGGGGGGCUUCUCCUGAUGUUUUAGGUGAAACAAUUCUACAUUGUGCAGGAUAUUUAACAUCCUGGCCCCUGGGCACUACAUGCUACUAUAACGAAAAUGUGCCCAAAUAGGAGUUACUGCUUUCCACUGAACUGGAGUGCACUCCACUGUCCGCAGCUGGGAACCAUGGUCAUUACAGAUCCAGGAAAGGUCAUGUGCAGUUUUUGCGAGUGAUUCUCAGGCAGGGAAAAAUACAAAGUUGAGUUUUUAAAAUUUCACAAGUCUCAUAUCUGAGAGGACAGAAUUAUGGUGACCUUCUUCUGAUUGUUAGAAAAAUAAUACCAUCUGCGUUGGUGAUGAAACAGAUAUUUGGGAUGACAGUUUAAAGGUGAUCAGUGGGUUUUUAUGUGUCACAUGGGUAUAGAUGGUAGUUGACUCCAGAUAGAAGGCAAUGUCUGAUAGUUAAGAAAAAGAGCAGAGAACUACAGAAAAGUAAAACCAUCUUACUGUCAUUAUCUUCGUCAAUGGGCUGAAGGGAGAAAAAUUUUAAAUGCUCUCCAGAAAAAUUAAGGAAGUUUCCAUAAGAAGCUAUGGUACUCUUAAUAGAUUUUGAACUUAGUUUUCAUUAUGUCUAUGUUUUUUUAAGUUUUGGUUUGUGAUUUAAGAAUAUUAACAUCAUAGGGCACCUGGGUGGCUCAGUCAGUUAAACAUCCAACUUAGGCUCAGGUCACAAUCUCACGGUUUGGGAACUCAAGCACAGAGCCUGCUUGGGUUUCUCUUUCUCCCUCUCUUUCUGCCCCUCCCCCUCCCUCAAAAUAAAUAAACUUAAAAAAAAAAGAUUAUUAAAAUCAUAGCAUAUUAGAGCUGAAACAGGAUAUCGUAGAUCAUUUGUUUCCUUUAUCGCCAUACUAUUAUUAGCCACGUAGAGAUUAAAAGCACUAGCUCUAUAGACCUGGUCUUACCUUUGCUAAUGCCGAACCUCAGUUUUCUCCUCAGUAAAAUGAGGAUAAUAGUAUAUUAUCUUAGGUUAUCAUUUCACCAAAAGCCAAAGCACUAAAAAGUAAUCUUACCAAAGAAUACAUUUGUUCAAUAAAUUUAAUGUGAAUUUUCUGUAAAACAAGUAUUUGAUAAAUUUAACUACCUGAUCAUUUGGCAAAUUAACUUUUAGCAAAUACUUAUUAGGCUUAUUAUAUGGAUUAAAUGAGCUAUUGCACACACACAAAAAGUGGUUACCAAAAUGCUCAAUAAGUCUUAGCUAUAAUCCCUCCAACAUUCUGACUACAAAUCUUGCCCAUUCUCUCUCUGAAUAUUCUCCAUUCCUACCCACAUAAUUGGCCUUCUGUAGACUUUCACUAUCUUUAGGUGGACUAUUGUAAUAGUCAUUUGAUUGGCCUCUUGGCUCAUUCCUCUCCAAAAUUAUUUUCUAUAGUAUUGCAAGGGUGAUAGAUCACAUAAAUUUUAAAUUAUCAUCUACAGUAGAAUAUGUAAUUUCACCUUUUCCAUAUAUCGUUUAGCACCACUGGAGUACUUAUAUUUCCCUAAAUACACCUUUUUUUUUUUUUCCGGAAAAAGCAUCAGAUUUCUCUGCUUUUGCCUUUCUAACUGGAAUGUCUUCCCCCUUGUCUCAUGUCAAAAUUUUUAUUCAUCUUUCAAGUUUUAGUUAAAAUGCCACUUCCCUUGUAAAGGUCUCCCUCAUUUCUGCAAGCAAAUUUAGGUGUUCUUUCCAGGCUUCCACUGCUUUUUGUACAUGAUUCUGUUGUGACUCUUAGAUUACUGUAGUUAUUUGUUUGUCAUUCUAAAAGACUAUAAUGUCCUUGAAGAAAGAGACCCUUUUUAUCUUUCAUAUACAUGUAUAGUGGCUAGAAUAAGUCUUCAACAUUAAUGGAAUUAAAAAAUUAAAAGAUCUGGGGUGCCUGGGUGGCUCAGUCAGUUGAGCAUCCGACUUGGUUUCAGCUCAGGCCAUGAUCUCACGGUUUGUGGGUUCGAGCCCCACAUCGGGCUCUGCAUAGACAGUGCAGAGCCUGCUUGGGGUUUCUCUCUCCCCCCACCCCUCUCUCUGCCCCUCCCAGCUUGCGCUCUCUCUCUCUCUCAAAAAAUAAAUAAACAGGGGCGCCUGGGUGGCUCAGUCGGUUAAGCGUCUGACUUCAGCUCAGGUCACGAUCUCGCGGUCCGUGAGUUCGAGCCCCGUGUCGGGCUCUGGGCUGAUGGCUCGGAGCCUGGAGCCUGCUUCCCAUUCUGUGUCUCCCUCUCUCUCUGCCCCUCCCCCUUUCAUGCUCUGUCUCUCUCUGUCUCAAAAAUAAAUAAACGUUAAAAAAUAAAAUAAAUGAACAUAAUUUUUCUUUUUUAAUUAAAAGAUCUUUUUACGACUCUUCUUACUGCCUUCCCCCUCCACCUCCAUUUUACAGAUCAGGAAACUGAGUCCCAAAGAAAUGAAGCUAUUUAUUGAGAACCCAAGUGUUCUAACUCCAGAUCUAUUACUUUUACUCCUUACUGCAGAGAAUCUUCUGAGUAGUGUUUAAAUGCCAAUCCUUUCUGUUGUACAACAGCCUGUCUUGUCAGUGUCUUUCCAUUCACCUCUAAUCUAGGGAACAACCAGAAGGGCAUAGUGAUCUGACAAAAUUUGUAUUCUCUUUCUUCCAAUUUGUUUGGUUGCUUUUGUUUGUUUUCCAGUAAAUUCAGUGAAAGUCCUCCCCACCCCCAGAGGACAUUUGGUAAAAUGUCUGGACACCUUUUUGAUUAUCAUAUCAGAAAGAUUGCUACCAGUAUCCUGUAGGUAAGCACCCAAGGAUGCAGCUAAAUAUCUUAUGCAUAGGACAGCCCCCAUAACAGGGAAUUAUCUGACCCCAAAUGUCAGUAGAGCCAAAUUUGAUCUAGUCUAGUCUAAAGGAAGUUUUUACUGAGCCCUUCAUCCACUCUGUUGCCUGUAGGAAAUCAUGAUGGAAAAGAAACUCAUCCCCCUCCCAAAAGGGAUUUGGAAGCCCUGUAUGGCAAACUCUGGAGGCAAUUGCUAUAACUACGCACUAUGAAAAGACUUCAUGCAGGUUUCCCCAAAGGAUUCAUAGUGCCUGCCUGGGUAUAAGAUAGGCACAUAAAUAUGUAUUGCUUGAAUGAUUAAUAAAAUAUAUUUUAACCAGAAGAAUGGAGUUUUAUUAUUUUUUUUUAACUUGAGGGAAGUCAAAUUAAUCAUUGUGGUGAGAAUUUCUGUUCUUCUCUUUUUAUUUCAGUUACAGGAAGAAGCAAAACUUUUUAAAAACAACUCUCAACUCACCCACUUCCAUAAAUUAGCAGUAAUAGUUUUAAGGGAGAGACCAAUGAGCCUAUAAAUUAAAGAUGAUAUUUGCAGAACAAAAAAUAAAAGAAGCCUUCAGAAUAGAGUAGUAUUAGAACUGAUGCAUGAGCUCUCCAGGACCCUCAUUUAAAUUAUGUAUCCAGAAUUGAAACUGAGCAUUUCUGAUGGAUUAUGGCUAGGCAGGAAGAGACCAAACACACAUAGAGUAAGGUUAGAUUAAGUUCCCAAUUUAACUAGUCAAGAUACAGAAUCCCAGAAGCAAGGUGUCUAUAUUCCGCACCAUAUCUCAGGGGUCCUAAUGUCCCUAUUGCACUUUUAUACCUACAGUUUAAAUCAUAUUCCAAGAAAACUUCCACUAAUAAUCUUUAUUGACAGUGAACUCUCCUGGGUUUUGGUUGUCAUUUUACAUCCUCAUUCCAGGGUUCAGGAAAGACUAUCCUCAGAUGUGUGCAUGAAGAUCAACGCUUUUAUUUAUUUUCUCAAUAAAAAAUAGGAAAACCAUAAAGAAAAUAUAGGAUACUCAUUCCCACUUGGAGGCAGUUAUAAUUAACAUUUUAGUCCAUUUUUCUUCUAGAAAAUUUUUCUAUGAAUAUAUUACCUAGCUGAAACAAUGUCCCAGUUUUUUUAACUUUGCAUUAUAGUAAAAUCAUUUUCCAUACAUUAAAAUUCUUCAUAUCCAUUGUUUUAAUGGAUACAGAAUAUACUGGGCUAUGGACAUUUGAUAGUUCACCAUUUUGCCACUGUUGGCCAACAACAGUGUUUCAGGUUUUACAUUAUAAUAAAUGUCCCACUGAGCGUUUGCUCCAUUUUGAACCCUACCCUUAACUUCUCAAGGAACUUACUUUAUAGUGUAUUAUUUGACAUGAGCAUCAAUUCCUUGUACAUACCAUGUUCCUUCUGUCUACCUCUUUUUGCCCACUUAGUUCACUCUUUAGAUUUCAAGUCAAAGGCCACUUCUUCCAGGAAGUCUUCCCAAACUUUAUAUUUGAUUAUGGUUUUCUGUUAUAUAUUCUAAUUGUACAGUGUUCCUUUUUUCCAUAGCACUUAUCUCUGGUUGUAAUAAUCUAUUCAUUUGUAUAUUACUUAAUUUCCCUUAGACUACAAUACUACAAUCAUCUGGAUAAGCAGUGAUUAUAAUGCUGUUAUAAACACAGGCUGAUUAAUGUGAUCUCAUUCUGAUCACUGACAAGAUGGGUUAAAGCUUGAGACUGAAAUACAGUUAGUCCAGAAAUACUGAUGUGUCAGGCAUUAUUCUAGGUGCUGGGAAUAUAGAAAUGAGAACAACAGGCAUGAUUUUAGUCUUCAUGGUCCUUAUAGUCUAAUGCAGCAUUUGGCAAACUUUUCCUGUAAAGGCCCAGAUAAUAAAUAUUUGGGGCUUUCAGGCUAUAUAGCCUCUCUCACAACCACUCUGCCUUUGAAAUGCAAAAGCAAUCGUCAACAAUACAUAAGAGUGUUCCAAUAAAACAUGCAGUGGGGCUGGAUUUGAUGCAUUGUUUACUCCUGGUCUGUUGGACAAGACAACCACUACACAGAUCAUAUGAGAUGAUGAAUACUUCAAAAGAAAAGGACAGGGUGCAAUAAAAUCACAUGGCAGAGCUGUGUAACCUAGUUGAGGGAGAAGAACAAAGACUUCCUUAAGGAAUAGGACUUAAAACUUAAGAAAGAGGAACUACCUGGAUAAAGCAGGGGCAACAGACUCAAUGAAGACCCAAAGUAUAGAAAGAACAAGAAUAGAAAGAAAUUCAUUCUUAAGCUUGGAGAGUGAUAGGGAGAGGGAGAUGAAAUUGUGUAAGGAUAAAGUAUAGAGGGCAAAGACAGAUUCAGAGUAUUGACAAAUUUUCAAAAACUAAUACUGUCUAGAGGAAGCAUUGCCAGUAGGAAAGACUGAGAAGGAACGAUCAAUGAAGCAUACCAGUAGCAGGAAAUUUAAGACCUUGGAGACACUCGAACCUCCUCUUCCAUCUGUAUGUGUAGGAUAUGUUGGUUGGUAGAUGUCAGCCUAAAGGCUACGUGAACCUCAGCAAACUUCACCUUUUGAAGGAUGGGAUACAGAGAGAAAGAAUAGAGCUGAGAGCUGAACAAGAGGUGGAGGGGAGGGGUCAUAGAGUAGAAAAGAGGUAGCAAAGGAAUCAGAAGUAACAAAGAUAGGAAUACAUUGCUGGUAUAUAGUAGGUGCUCAAUAAUUUUUUGAUAAAUGAAUGAAAGGUUAACAAUGUAAAAUCAAAGAAUCCAAGAGGGAAAGGAUUUCAAUAACAGGUUGGCCAAUAGUUUUAUGUAUUUAAAAGAGCUAUUGCUCAAGGCCAGUUUCCUUGGCUAACUGGGAAAAGAUGCCGGUAAGGACACAGCCCCUCUGGAUGCCCUAGCGCAGGAUAAACCUGACCUUCAAUUUCUACCUGUAGGAAAAGCUGACCUGAUUCUUUUCUUCCCUAAAGAUUUCAGUGAGUAGGAACAGGGACCUUCCUGUGUCAGUACCUGCUCAAAAUAGAAUAGGAACAAGAUUUCUCACAGAUUACAAUGACACUAGCUCAACUGUUCUCUCUCUUUUCUCAGUCACCUAUGUUAAACGUGUGUUUUAUUACUUAAUUCUAAACUUUUUGUAUUGUUAUUUUGUUAUUCACUUCUUACUGAUAUAUAUAAAUUCCUAUGUUAGAUGCUGUGAGUAAUUACAAAAAUGUAAGACAUGGGUCUGGGCUCAAGUAUUAUGUAAUUGACCAAUAAAUUGUAAGCUUCUUGGUAUGAGGAAUCAUAUUUGACAUUUCCUUUUUUAUUCUUUGCACAGCAUCAGCCAUAUGGUUGGUACUGUAGAAAUAAUUUGCCCCUACCCUCUGCGUUGCACCAUUUGGUGACCAAAUGGUGUCUAUCUAGACACUUCUGUAUGGCUUGGACAAAACAUGCUUCAUUCUGAGGCAAUGAUAUUCUGAAGGCAUCAGUAACAGUAAUUUCAGCUUGUUGAAGGUGAAGGUUCUUUGUGUAAAGGUCAACCUGUCAGUAAAUAGCAUGCCACCCUGUUCUUUCAAGAUUAUAAGAAACCUUUGUACAUGUGUUUUUUACACUUAAAAAAGUGGUGGGAAGCUAUACCCAGUGAUCUCACCAGAUGUUUUCUUUUUUUUUUUUUUAAUGUUUAUUUAUUUUUGAGACAGAGAGAGACAGAGCGUGAACGGGGAAGAGAGAGAGGGAGACACAGAAUCGGAAGCAGGCUCCAGGCUCUGAGCUGUCAGCACAGAGCCCGAUGCGGGGCUCGAACCCACGGACCAUGAGAUCAUGACCUGAGCCAAAGUCGGACGCUUAACCGACUGAGCCACCCAGGCACCCCUCACCAGAUGUUUUCAAAUCAGGACUGGGGCAACUGAGUUGUAAUUUAUUUUUUAAACUUUAUUUUCACAAACUUAUGAGAACAGGGAACAGAGAUUUUUCUUGCCUGAAUUAGCAGGUUAAUUUCAUUCUCUAUUCAGUUUUAGCAAAAUACUAAGCUAGCCCUAGGAUGAAAAUGUGAAACACAGAUUCUUACCAAGUCUGAAAAGUGGAGCAAAGAUUAGUCUUAAGAAUGAAGGAAAACAUUACUUAUUUUUCUUAAGCUGCUGCUUGCUUCUGCAGUAGUAUCAACUGUUUUUAGACUGAAAACUCAUAGAUAAGGGGGGAAUGAUCCCCUUUCUAGAAUAUCCAGUCCCCUAUACUAAGCAUAUCCAAAGUCUUUCAAGACUUAAAUUAUUAAAGUCUGACACAUGGCUCACAGUCUUCCUGUUUCCCUUAACUACUACCCUCGUCCUGAGUGAAUGCAUCACCGAAAAAGCCAGAAUACCAGUCUUGAAGUUCCUUGACAUCUCAUCUCCAGUGAUGUUCAGUCACUCAUUUCUGUUGCCACACGCUAGAUCUUGUCAUACACCCAGUCUGUUUCCCCUCUAACUCCAUAAACGCAGACUUCACAUUCUCUGGCCACAACACUCAUCCCAGCUCUCUCACUCAGUUCCUCCCAGUACAUCAUUCUCAGUUCCCUGAUGUCUCCAGUGUUCUUCCUCUCUCUACCUCAGCCUUCUGUCCUUCUCAGAUUUCUCUGACGUGAGACCUCUGAUCCAGACUUCACUUUUUUCUCCCUAUCAGCCUUCUCCUUCCUUCACUCCCUUUGAUUUUUUUUGCUGCAUUCUAGCUUAAAUUGCCUCUGUUGCCAAAAACCACAUCUCCUUUGCCCUGCUUGCCCUGCUGUCACUGACCUGGCAAAACACCAGCUCUAACUGGGUGCCUUCACCCAGAUUGCUAAGUGCAUGCACCCAGUUAGGAAGAGAUAGCUUGGCUGUGCAGAUUGGCCUUUAAUACUGCACAUCCAGGACCACAGACCAGUUAGGUCACUGUGUCCAUGAUGUUGGGAAGGGAAGGUUAUCCUUAUAAUGCACUAGACUCUACUCCAUAUGCCAAAGUACAGUUGUCAUAAAUUCUCUUUUAUAUACCCCAAAUUAGUAACAGACUGGAUAAUUUCUUUUUUUUUUUUUUAAUUUUUUUUUUCAACGUUUAUUUUUUUUGGGACAGAGAGAGACAGAGCAUGAACGGGGGAGGGGCAGAGAGAGAGGGAGACACAGAAUCGGAAACAGGCUCCAGGCUCUGAGCCAUCAGCCCAGAGCCCGACGCGGGGCUCGAACUCACGGACCGCGAGAUCGUGACCUGGCUGAAGUCGGACGCUUAACCGACUGCGCCACCCAGGCGCCCCCAGACUGGAUAAUUUCAAUUGUCAUUACCUUCUCCCUGACUCUCUAUCCUAGCUUUUGUGCUUACUUUCCUGUUUUUUUUUUUAAAUUUUUUUUAAUGUUUAUUCAUUUUUGAGGGAGAGACAGAGAGUGUGAGCAGGGGAGGGGCAGAGAGAGGAGACACAGAGUCCAAAGCAGGCUCCAGGCUCUGAGCUGUCAGCACAGAGCCCAACGCGUGGCUCAAACCCACAGACCGCAAGAUCGUGACCUGAGCCGACGCCAGACGCCCAACCGACUGAGCCACCCCGGCGCCCCUUUCCUGUUUUAACUUUAUAGUUUUGGGUCUAGUUCACCCAAUAAGGUGAAUUUCUAAUGUUUUUUUUUUUUUUUAAUUAAUAUUUGACCAGUCCAAAAGGACAUGUUUUAAACAUUAUGGGAUGAAGUAAUAACUGAAGGAAAAUCACUCCUGCAUAUGAUUACCCUAGAAAGCAAGGCUUUUGUGAAUCUAAGUAAUCUCUAGGUCAAGGGCCUUAGGCUCAGCUCCCUUGAGUCAUUUCAUUCUUGCCUUUCCCAGCUUCCCCCUCCCAUCAUUUUUGAUCCCACAAAUUUUCUAAAAACAGACCCCUCUUUUUUCUGCAAGUGACAGAGAAAACAGUGCUACUUGGGUAGGGAACAGUGGUGGGUACUGUUUGCAGGUGUAGGUCACUUACUGAAUGGCCGUGGCAUACUGGUUAAGAGUGCAGGCUCUAUGACCCAGUUUCUAUACUUACCUGCUCUGUAACUUUGGGCAAAUUAGUCUGUAUGCCUCAGUUUUCCCAUCUGUGAUACAUAGAGAAUAAUACUAGUACCAACCUCACAAUGCUGUUGUGAAGAUUGAAUUCCAUAUAGUAAAUGAGUUAAUACCUUAGAACUGGUAAGCACUCAGUAACUGUAAGCUAUUAUUCAUAAUUUAGAGGCAGCUUCUCUAUUUCUUAAAAUAUAUUUAUUCAUUACAAGAAGAGACUAAUGAUGAAAGCUAGGAGCUAUUAAAAUUCCAUUGAUUGGAUGUAAAAAGUAGACUUUUAGAAUUGCAAAAGAGUCAAGAAAUUAUUUAGACCAUUGGUUUUUAACCGAUCUUAUGCAUCAGAAUCACUUAUGAAGUGUUGUAAAGCUCCAGUUACCGAGGCCCUCCCUUCUCACAUCUACCAAGUCAAAAUAAAAUGUCCACAGGCAAUCCCAAUGCAGUCUUCCUUGCAAGAACCACUGAAGUAAUUCAAGUCUUUGUAUUUUAUGAUGAGGAUAGUGAGACUUAGAAUAAAUGACCUGCCUAAGACCCCAUAUAAUUGGUAGGAUCAAGGUCACCUAGCUCCUGGAUAAGUGAUUUUACUAUUCUUCUAUGUUGCCUGCCAAAAUAUAUUAACUUGUCAAGGAACUAAUAUGGGAGUUUAUCAGGAAGAAUAAAAUAGGCUUGAAAAGUGUACUUUAUUCAUUGUUUAAUUCAAAAUAACAAAAUUUAUUUUAUAAUUCAUGCAAAGGACUAUUGCACAUUUACAGUAGGAUUUAAAGUGAAUUUUGCUGUGCUUUUCAUGUGGACAUUAGUCUUUGCCACAAUGCUUGCUGCUAAUUAGUACAAGGAAACACUGUGUGUGGCAGAGAGCUCUUCGAUCCAGCCUCACAGACUGAAAGCAAACAAAUUCUUUAUAGGGAAAGGUAGGUGUAGGAAUUAAACUUUUUAGAAUUCUCAAUAGUAAAAUAUGCAUUUUUUAUAAAUAGGAUUUUUUUUUGUUUUACAUUUUAUUUUUUAAACCUUUGUAAAAUAUUCUUAGACUUUUCCAGUCUAUGAACAGUUAGUGUAGGAAAAAAAAAAUCAGUUGUUAUUAGGUACAGCAUUCUUAUUGUAGCUUUAUUGACUGAUACUUUAAAAGUCUAAAAUAUACAGCAAAAACAUUGUGAGUUUUUGUGUUUGGUAUUGGGUACUAUGAUAUUACAUCUCUUAAAACAUUUUUCUUUACCUAUAAUAUGGAGGGAUCAAAAAUGCAUUAGAACUUGGAUGUGAACUUAUGCAAAUGUGUGAAACAAAUUAAAAUGACAGGGCAGAAGCAAGAAAAUGAAGCUCAGAUGAAAUACUCUCAAAGCAGGUCUAUUUAUAUUUCACCAUAUUUGCUAUUAUAAAUUUGUUUCCAUGUAUUUCUUUGCUAGAAAUGAUAAAUGGCUGCCCACUCAACUUCUGACUCCUAGGCAACUCCAUUUUGCUAAUAAACCACUCAUUUUAAUUCCAUAAAUCCUCUGCACAAGCCCCUAAAAGAAGUCCACUUUUCCAGAUCCCCAUCAACCUAAUAUUAAACUAUUGUUGCUUCUACUGUGUCUUUGCCUGAUUCCAAAACCCUUUGCUCUACCCUUCAAGUCAGGUUUGACCUUCGGAUCUUUUUACUUGAUGCUUACUUUUGGCUUGUUGGCACUUGACUCUGUGCUCAAUCUGAUCAUCUUUGGUUUAGACUCACCUACUUCCAAGCUGCCAGGAUUUAUACCCCUUGAUUCUAGCAGUUCUGGAAUUCCUAGCAUAGCCACUGGCUGCUGCCUCAAGACCAGCCCCAAAUACUAGCCCAUAAUCUAAACAUCCAUUUAUUCAUCUGCUCAACAGAUUUCAUUCAUCACUACUAUGUGUAAACCACCAGAGUAGUUUCUGGAGGAAUAUAGAAGAUUAAUUAGUGAUAGAAAGCUCUUAAAAUUGGGUAGGACAAAUAGACAAAAGUAUAUAGUGAUAAUUUAAGAUAGUAUGUGUUCAACUCUUAGGAAGUAUGUAUACACAUAAAACAUCAAUUAACAAAAGCUUCAAAUAGAAAACUUUCUAAUCAGGGAAUGAGGGAUAUGGGGUUCCAGGGGACACGACCAAAAGAACCUGGGGUGGUGGGUCAUGGAUUUAAAAAGAUUGAGAAUACUGACAGGUUAAGUUAACAGACUUUGAAGGUAGGGUAGGAUAAACACCAUGGGAGAAAGGCAUCCCAAAAAGUAGAACCAAGCAAACAGGAACAGAAAAAGUAAAUUGUGUUUAAAAAAUAUUCAUCUAGAGUAGUGGACAGUAUAAGUAGAAAUGAAAGAAAGCUUAGAGAAACUGGUUGGAACCAGAUUAUAAUGGAAGGCUUUGAGUACAAAGAAGGUUAGAGUUGGCAAACAUAGCUGGAAGUCAGAAGGUUUCGAGCAGGAAAUGAUAACUGGCUUGAUUAACAGUGGUAUUCAGGAAGGAGUUGGUAGUGAGGAGACAGGCAGGCAGAGAUUGCAGACCAGGAAGUCAAGAGACUAAUACAGUAAUCUGAAGUAGGGAGGGCCCAGAGAUGAAGACUGUAUUCAUCUCAUUAAGUGCCUGCUAUAAGCUAGGUGCUGGUCAUGCAGUGAGGACUAGUCCAUGUCAUGAGGGGGUUUUCAAUCUGGUGAGGCGUUGAUCUUUUAAAGGCUCCUAGAAGGGUCUCUAUUUUGGGACCACUUCUGACCCUUGCCUGGAUACUAAGGAAUUAGGUCCUCAUUUAACAACGAAAUGUAUUUCCUACCUUUUAAAACUACUUUUCCAUUUUAUGAGUCUGCUAAGGCAGAAGUAUCCCAUCCACUUGCACAUAAAGAAAAGCAAUUUAUUACUUAAAACAAGAUAAGACAGGAACACUACCAGACAAGGCAAAGAAGAAAAUGACAUGUGUUUUAAAGAGAUAACUGAGGUUGAUGUGGAGAAUGAAUUGGAGGUUAGAUUAGGGGCAAGAAAACCAGUUAAGAGGUUGUUGUAGUAAUCCACUGGCUUGAUUGUGAGGGCCUGAAUAAAGACAGUAUGAAAGACGAGCAAUCCUUGGUAGCUACUUCCGAUAUAAUCCUUUCUAUCCCUGCCCUGGUACAACUAAAGGAUGGGUAGGGGACUCUUGUUUGGAAUUGAAUCUUGAACAGAGGGACUAAGACACAAGAAACACUGUGUACUUCUUCAGAUUUAGAGGAAAUGCUCCUACUGUCAAGUAGUCUGUUUUCUGGUUUCCUUAUUUGGAGCAUGGUUCAUCUGCCUUCACAUUGAUUCUGUGAGCUCCCCGAUAUAUUCUUGGUUCUUGUUUUGGCCAGCCCAAAUUGGUUCCCAGGGCUUAUAGUUAAAACAAACAAACAAAAAACCGAAUUGACCCUGUAUGUAAUGUUUGAGGCACCUUUGGGUAACCAGGUGGAGACUGUUAUGUAGUAGGAAAUAUAAAACUAGUGGUUCUUAAAGUCAUGCAUCAGCAUCACCUGAGAACUUGUUAAUAAGGUAAAUUCUCAGGCUCUGCUCCAGACUUACAGCAUAUGAAACUCAAGCAGUGGGGCCCUAAUAACCUGAAUAUUAGUAUGCCCUCUGGGUGAGUCUAAUGCACUCAAACUAUAGUUUGAGAACCAAUUCAACUAGAGCUUGAAAGGAGAUUUGGGGUGGAGAUAAAGAUGUGUGAGUCAAAUGUAUGAUAGUUACUGUUGGGGGAAUGAAUAAACAUAGACAAUAUAAUCAAAGACGUUGAGACCAGUGCAGUACAAUCAGGGAGGGGGAAAUUUAACAGAGGUGUCAGGUGAUGUACAGUGUCAGGUGCUAUACAGAGGCCAAGGUGGAUCAGGACAGAGUCAAAGCUAUAGGAGCGCCCAUUAGGAGGUUUUUGGUAUCAAUUAAGAGAAGUGGUACAGGUAACAAAAAUAAGUGGUGAGAGAGCAGAGGUAAAAAAAAAAAUAAUACUUUUUGCAGCAGUUCGGGGGUGCAAGAAAGAAAAGUUAGAAUAGUAAGGUCAAGAAGAUCUUUUUCAGGGUAGAUAUUUCCAUUAGCUUUUGCUGCAUAACAAACACUUGAAAACUCACUGACUUGAGACUGUAAUUAUAGGUCAUACUUGAGGGUUGGCUGAUCUCAGUGAGGCUUGCUUGUGCAUCUACAAGCCUACUGGGGGACUUUGCUCUAUGCUGACUCUAUUUCACCUGACAUCCUCCUCCUUUCUGGCUUACCCUGGCAUACUCUUCUCAUGGAGGUGGAAAGGAAUUUUAAGAAGAUCAACAGAAAUACACGAGGCCCCUGGAAACCUGGAUUCCAAACUGACACACUGGCACUUCUGCCUCAUUCUAUUGACCAGAUCAGAUGAUAUGGCUAAGUUCAGAUUUAAGGAAGUAGAACUUACCUUUGCAGAGAAAAGGCAAAGUGACAUGGCAAAGGGCAUGGGUGGACUCCUGGAGGGGUAUAGAAUUAGGAUCAUUAAUACUGUAGUAGGGAUGACCUGAGCAUUCUUGAAGGUAGAAAAGAAGGAAUAUGUAGAAUGAAGAAGAAAGUGAACUAAGGAGAGAGACCAGUACCAUAGCUCAGAGGAGAAUUAACCUUUGAAAAAAGGAAGGGUACUUCUGGGAAUGGAAAGAAGGGAAUUUGAUUGGAUUGGAUUUAGCAAAUUAAAAUAUAUGAUGCCAGGUAAAAUUCAAUUUUCAGAUAAACAAUGAGCAAAUUUUUAGUAUUAGGUAUGUUCUGUACAAUAUUUGGCAGGCUCUCAGUACCUAGCUUGCUGGGUUUUUUUUUUAUUAUUAUUAUUUUACAUGCCAUAUAAAUAUUUCCAUAAUGCAAUAUUUGGGACAUACUUAUACUAAAAUAAAAUAUGAUUUCUUGUUUAUUGGAAACUCAGAUUUAAUUGGGCAUCCUGUAUUUUAUCUGGCAACUCUACUUUGGAUGAGUUUUAAGUAAAUCCAUAGUAAAAUAAUCUACAAAGGGAUAGAUGGGUGCAUUUGGGGAUUUAGUUCUGGAAGAAGUUGGGAACAGCUGCUGUGGAUGCUAUGAAGUGUCAAUGAAAGAAUUGCUGAGCAGCAGUGAAGGCCCACUUAGCAAGAGGAAGCAUGACUUCUUCUUGAAUUAAAUCAGCAGUAAUGUUUCACUGCUAGGGAGCAGUAAUAGCACCAGAGAUUGCUGGUGCAGGCCACCACCUUGGUUUGACUUCAGUAGGAGAGGCCAGGGCAGGACUUUGGGGUAUAAUUGAAAUGACUAGGGGUCCAGGUUGUAUAUGGAAGCAGGUGAAACCAGAAGGUGACUUGGGAAGCAGAAGGUGAACAGUGAGUCAGAGUGGUAGUAGGAGGUAGAAGUUCACAAGGAAAUGGACUUUCUGUGGAGGAACAGUUCUGUAUGAUAAUGGGGUUUAAAAUCCAAUUUCAGGGGCGCUUGGGUGGCUCAGUCAGCAAAGCGUCCGACUCUUAAUUUCCACUCAGGUCAUGAUCUCAUGGUUCGUGGGAUUGACCCCUGUGUUGGGUUCUGUGCUGAGAGCAUGGAGCCUGGUUGGGAUUUUCUCUUUCUCCCUUUCUCUCUGACCCUUCCCACAUGCUGCUCUCUCAAUCUCUCUCUCAAAAUAAAUAAACAUUUUAUUUUAUUUUAAAAUAUUUAUUUAUUUGGGGGAGAGGGAGGGGCAGAGAGAGAGGGAGAGCUUGAACCUGUUGUCACACUGUUGUCAUCAGGUGUGAGCACAACCUGAGCCGAAAUCAAGAGUCAGUUGCUUAACUGAGUGAGCCACCCAUGUGCCCCUAAACAUUUUUUUUUAAGUAAAAAUAAAAUCCAGUUUCACAUUACAGCAUUGGCCCUAAAUGAAAAACAAGAGCUCUGCAGGCAAGGCACCUGGUUUUGCAUUCUAUUUGUGUAAACUUUAACUUUUCCAUGCCUUAGCUCUUUGUAAAAAUAGGAAUAAUAAUAGUUCUUACCUCUUAGGGUUCUUGUGGGGAUUAGGUGAAACAAACCAUAUGAAGAACCUAGAAGAGUAUGUCUGAUACACAGUAAACCCUCAAAUGUUGGGCUGUGUUUUAUUAUUUUACAUACUACUUACAUGCAUCUAUAAUCAGUAAAUGUUAGUGCUCUAGAGAAUAUCAUUUUAAAGACAAAUGGCAAUCACACAUUGUAUGUUUUCCACCAUAGCCAACAAAUUUAUGUUUGGUAAAUACACAAUUAGCUACCUGUGGAGGUUGGGGCCCACAAAACCUUUACCAUUUACAGUUGUUUUCUUUAUCGUUACUACAAGAAAAUAAUUACCAUGCUCGAGUUAUAUCUCUCUCCUCAUUUCCCCAUAGGUGACCAUGCUUUGGGAUUUUCAUAGUUUGAGUUAAUUCCUCUGGGCUCCACCACCCAGCGAGUUAAACAGGACAAGAUUCCUCCCAAGAGAUUGUGGUUCUGGGAAUGUGAGCAGCUUGUUUUCAUGAGAUCUGCACCCUGACUUGGCCUACUGUUAGGAGUUGUAUUGGUGGCUGUGUUUUUUUUUAGUUGUUUCUUCCAUCUUACAGUUAUUUGUAUAUAAACAUUUUUGAAAGUAAAUGUUUUAUGGGGGUGUUUUGCUUAUACAAAGAAAAAUUAAAACUAUUUUAAAGUAAUUA
rnacentral:lncRNA from 1 species